GGGCGGGUGGCGAAAUGGCAGACGCGCUAGACUUAGGAUCUAGUACCCAAAAGGUGUGAGAGUUCAAGUCUCUCCCCGCCCA
rnacentral:tRNA from 1 species